CUCACAUAGAGAGAACGUUUCUUUCUUUAGUUUUUGUUUGUGUGUUUUCCAGAGCUCGACAAGAAAGUAAACCCACCGCUGAAAAGCUGGUCACCUGAAAAGCGGGCCAGCUAUGUGUGGUGAGCUGAAAAGCUGCUGCAACCAACGGUGCACUCCCGGAAAUGCCGCAUCUCCCUCCCAGGGGUAUCACAUCGGCGUAGUCCACCAGCUGAGGCGCAUCCACGGCACAGAAGGAGUACCCUUCACACACAGCAGGUGCCUGACAAGCCAGUGGAGGCUUCUAAGGGAGGCAUUUACAGCCCCUAUCCACCCUACUUGGUCCAAGCCACAGCCAAUUACGACACACCCCGCAGAGCUAACAGUCAACAGUCGGCACGGGCGUGGUCUGGUUCUGAUAACGGACUGAGGAACACUCACGCACUAAGGACCACAAGCCACCCAGAAGCCCGUCUCAAGUACAGUGCUUUCUAUUAGGGUCUUUGCUUCAGAUCAUUUACCUCUCCAACACAGAGCCAGUCACACUGCUAAUGAAAGCAUGAGCACAAGAAGGCCCCUCCCCCCACCCCUACCCUACCUUGUCGGUCUUGUCCUCAGAGAAAGGGUUCUGUCCUGGAUCUUGGUCUAUUCCUCCUCCUAUGCUGAACCCCAGGAUCAGGUUGUCGCCCUGACGCAGUUUGUUGAUCUCAAUGCGUUGCUGAAACACAAGUUCAGAUCCACAAUCACUCAAUUUCAUCCCUCUAUUCAUCACCUGUCUUGCGUAACUGCGGAAUAAAAUGUGUUUGGUGACGGUUAGUACGAUACGCUCCUAGAUCAGAGAACUAAAAUUAGCUUGAGCACAUGCAGUGAAUAAUGCAAAGGACAGAACAAAACAAAAUAAGAAACAUGGACAAAGGAACAGGACACAUCAACUACAGGAUCUUUUGCUUAGUAAAAAAACACGACAAAAGAGUCAUGGUAAUAAUAACACUCGAGUUUCAGGCAGGACAAAGUAGGAAGUCCUCCUAACAAUGGGGACAAGUAGACAUUUCAACCCAUGAUUAACAGUACCCAUCCAUACGGGGGGAAAAAAACGUUCCACAUGUUCUUGGAUCACAGAUUGCCACUCUGACUCAACAAAUGGCUUUUCAGUCCUACACAGGACAGUCAGGCUUUUGAGCAGUCUGCCCCUCCACAUGCUACGCGGCUGAGGAAACAGCUAUUCCGUCAUGCUGACAGAUGGAGGUUUCUGGCAAGUUUAAUGGUCCCGUGCACAAAGCUGGUCUGUGUGAUGAUGAAUUCCAUGUCAACAUCUGGUACUCAAUAGCAUAUUGUACCAGCGCUGCAGACACGAUGGUUUUGAUCUUUUAAAUAUAAUAUUCCCAUGUGGUUUAUGGCCCCUUCUUGCAGAAAGUUCAGGAUGAUCCAAAAUAUAUUAUGUACUGAGUUCCAGCUUUAACAAAAAAAAAAACUAAAA